rnacentral:rRNA from 1 species
AGAGUUUGAUCAUGGCUCAGAUUGAACGCUGGCGGCAUGCCUUACACAUGCAAGUCGAACGGCAGCACGGACUUCGGUCGGGUGGCGAGUGGCGAACGGGUGAGUAAUACAUCGGAACGUGUCCUGGAGUGGGGGAUAGCCCGGCGAAAGCCGGAUUAAUACCGCAUACGCUCUGAGGUGGAAAGCGGGGGAUCUUCGGACCUCGCGCUCAAGGGGCGGCCGAUGGCAGAUUAGCUAGUUGGUGGGGUAAAGGCCUACCAAGGCGACGAUCUGUAGCUGGUCUGAGAGGACGACCAGCCACACUGGGACUGAGACACGGCCCAGACUCCUACGGGAGGCAGCAGUGGGGAAUUUUGGACAAUGGGCGCAAGCCUGAUCCAGCAAUGCCGCGUGUGUGAAGAAGGCCUUCGGGUUGUAAAGCACUUUUGUCCGGAAAGAAAACCUCUGCCCUAAUACGGCGGGGGGAUGACGGUACCGGAAGAAUAAGCACCGGCUAACUACGUGCCAGCAGCCGCGGUAAUACGUAGGGUGCAAGCGUUAAUCGGAAUUACUGGGCGUAAAGCGUGCGCAGGCGGUCCGUUAAGACAGAUGUGAAAUCCCCGGGCUUAACCUGGGAACUGCAUUUGUGACUGGCGGACUCGAGUAUGGCAGAGGGGGGUAGAAUUCCACGUAGCAGUGAAAUGCGUAGAGAUGUGGAGGAACACCGAUGGCGAAGGCAGCCCCCUGGGUCAAGAUUGACGCUCAUGCACGAAAGCGUGGGGAGCAAACAGGAUUAGAUACCCUAGUAGUCC